rnacentral:lncRNA from 1 species
ACCGCGGGUCCCCUAUUCUCCCUGAAUCUUUCUCCCACUCACCUGUCUGCUCUCUCUCAGAGUCUGUCCCAAAAGCCCAGGUAUGCCCUGCCCCCUUUCUUUUAUUGACAUUCAGGAUGCAACUGUGGUAUGUGGGGAAUGUUUGACAAACUGGGUCGGCCCUCCAGGAGUGGGAGGGGAUAAGAUCCCCUUGACACUCAAGUGUACCAGGCACUUACAAAGUUCUGGACAUAUAAAGAAAGGCAAAGGACAUUCUCUGCCCUAAAGAAGCACAGUCUAGGAAGAGACAAGAGGAAAAUAAGUAUAUACAAACAAGCUAUAGAUAAGAUCAAUUUGAGAUAAUUAACGGGGGGAAGGUACUAGAAUUAAGGAGGGUAGGGAAAAACUUCCUGAAAAAAUUAAUACUUUUAGCUAGGACUUGAAGAAAACCAGAGAAGCCAGGAGGUGGUGAUGAGAGAGAGCAUUCCAGGAUGGAGGAUGGCCACUGGAAAUGGUGAGAAAUGAGAGAUGGAAUAUGUUGUUUCAAGAACAUUAAGGAGGCCAGUGUCACUGGAACAAAAAGAAUGUAUUGAGGAGCAAUGUGCUAGAAGACUGGAAAGGGACCCAACACCACUCCAUUCUCCAGCCAUACUUCUGAGAGCCACCAUCUGCCUUGGAUGUAGCACUCCAAAUCCUGGAUUUCUGUUCUAUUUUCCGUACAGUCCUUUCCUGCUCUACUAUGUUGUGGCUGUGGUUCAGUGGAAAGGGUAUUCAUUUCGGAGUAAGAAGAACUGGGAUCAAAUCGCACCUCUGAUGCCUGUUGCUCCUGUGACCCUGGGCCCCAGCUUCUUCUCUGCCUGGUGUUCCUGGAGCAAUCAGCAAGUGGAGCUUCCUGUUCUGGCUUCAGAAAAAUGCCAGAGACCAGCAGCUGGUGAUAGACCCUCAAAUCAACCUUUAAAGACAAAUGUAGAAGAGACCAUAAACAGAGGGUCUGGGGAGAGAGACCCCCCACAGCCAAUAUUCUGGAGAGGGGAUGAAGAAGGGGACAAACCUGAAGUGCUGAAGACUCUGGAUUUACCAACAUGGCUCAGCUGCCUUCUUGUCCUAGAGUAUUUCUGUCAUGCUGGUUCCUUUCUCCCACUGGAGACUAAUCUUCCAACAGAGAAGGAGAGAACAAAAUUGGCUAAUGGAAUUAAAAUUAAAGAUAAAUGAAAAAGUAGUAAGAGACCACCUCAGUGCUCUCAAUGAAUUCAAGUCAGUACGUCAAUAUGAACUACAUUCAAUUGUACAAAUAAACAAAACACCCAAACAAACA